UACAGAGGUCCCGAGCGUUGUUCGGAUUCACUGGGCGUAAAGGGUGCGUAGGUGGCGUUGGAAAGUUUGAGUGUGAAAGCUCAGGGCUUAACCCUGAAAUGGCAUUGAAUACUGCUGAGCUGGAGGUUUGGAGGGGGACUGGAAUCUUGGUGUAGCAGUGAAAUGCGUAGAUAUCAAGAGGAACACCAGUGGCGAAGGCGAGU
rnacentral:rRNA from 1 species